GGAGAGGAGCGAGGGGGCCACCCAGCUGCAGUGCAGUGAAGAUGAGGGAAUGUCUAGGGACCCAGAGGGGGCUCUGACCACGGCAGGGCACUCUGCAUCAGAAACCACGACACGUGCAGUUGGCACUCAGACAGAGCCAUCGCUGGAUGCCAACUACAAGGAUCUGGAGCGCAGGCUGGCUGUGGUUGAGAAGUGGAUGAACAGGAGGAAGGG